rnacentral:rRNA from 1 species
GUAGAAUGAAGCAGCCUGAUCCAGCCAUGCCGCGUGGGUGAAGAAGGCCUUCGGGUUGUAAAGCCCUUUUGUUGGGAAAGAAAAGCAGUCGGUUAAUACCCGAUUGUUCUGACGGUACCCAAAGAAUAAGCACCGGAUAACUUCGUGCCAGCAGCCGCGGUAAUAC